AAUUGAAAACCCUUCUUAAUCUAACACUACAUCACAAGAAAUUCUUCAUCCCUCAAAACUUCUCUUCAGCGACACAUAUCAUCUUCUCUCAAACCUAAUUUACAAGCUUAGCCUUCUCUGUACCCAUGUAACACCACUUGGAAUCUUGAUUAAUGGGCGAGAUUUGCAGUUCGAUCUAUUCCAAAGAAGUGUCGAAGCUUUUAUAUUUGUAGAGGUUGAUGGAGAUGCAAAACAUUGCAUCUGCGAUUUCGCAAUUUGGAAGAAACCUUCAUGUUUCUUCUAUUUCACCUCUAUGAAAUUCUUCAGUUCACUGUGAUUUAAAGUAUAUGAAGAUUCCCAUAACUUUCGUCAGUAACUUGUAUUGGAUCUAUUCCAGGUCCUAGAAAUGGGUGAGCAGCUCCCCAGUUUCAAGAGUUAGCUGCUUCACUCAGGUUUGCUCGAUGUCUCUUUCCCGGAAUUUGCGGUAGUGAGGUUUUCUGUGUGAAGAUCAGCUCUCCUCCAUGGGCUUGACACAAAUUAGAUUUGAAUUUGCUUGAAAUGGUUGCUGGACCUGACUCUUAAAACACGGGAACUGCUAACUGUUGGUUCUGGAAUUCAAAGAGCCUAAGCAGAUAAACCAACAGGACAUCAUUUACAUUAAUAUUAUUUGAUAGAGGAUGUGAAUUUUUUCUUCUUUAUUUUCAUGAAGUUGAUGUGCAAACAAUGACGUGACUGAUGUAUUAUGGUUUAUAUAUAUAUACACGAAAGCAGAUUAUU